rnacentral:rRNA from 1 species
AUUGAACGCUGGCGGCAGGCCUAACACAUGCAAGUCGAACGAGUGGCGGACGGGUGAGUAAUGUCUGGGAAACCGCCUGAUGGAGGGGGAUAACUACUGUAAACGGUAGCUAAUACCGCAUACCAUCAGAUGUGCCCAGAUGGGAUUAGCUAGUAGGUUGGGUAAUGGCUCACCUAGGCAACGAUCCCUAGCUGGUCUGAGAGGAUGACCAGCCACACUGGAACGGAGACACGGUCCAGACUCCUACGGGAGGCAGCAGUGGGGAAUAUUGUACAAUGGGCGCAAGUCUGAUGCAGCCAUGCCGCGUGGGGGAAGAAGGCCUGCGGGUUGUAAAGCACUUUCAGCGGGGAGGCGUUACCCGCAGAAGAAGCACCGGCUAACUCCGUGCCAGCAGCCGCGGUAAUAC